GGACAUGAGGGUGAUCUGGCUGCCACCUCUGUCACCCCAUUGAUGACCAGGGUAGAUUCAACUGAUCUGAUUGAUGUGGUUGGUGUCCUCUCCCUCCGUCACUGUUUUAUGCAUGUCCCUCCUGAAGCAGAGGACAGCCUUCUCCAAUAGAGGAGGACCAUUCUUUGGUCAAGGACAUAAGAGUAACUGCCCUCCCCUGCUAGAACUUCCAAACAAGCUCUCUAAGAGAGUCAAAAUUCAUUCUCUUUAUAAUAGCCAUAUAUCAGCCUUAAGCCUGAUUCACUGCUAUUUU
rnacentral:snRNA from 1 species